AGUGAACGCUGGCGGCAGGCCUAAUACAUGCAAGUCGAACGGCAGCACAGUGGAGCUUGCUCCAUGGGUGGCGAGUGGCGGACGGGUGAGGAAUACAUGGGAAUCUGCCCAGUCGUGGGGAUAACGUAUGGAAACGUACGCUAAUACCGCAUGCGCCCUUCGGGGGAAAGUCGGGGACCGCAAGGCCUGACGCGAUUGGAUGAGCCCAUGUUCGAUUAGCUAGUUGGCGGGGUAACGGCCCACCAAGGCGACGAUCGAUAGCUGGUCUGAGAGGAUGAUCAGCCACACUGGAACUGAGACACGGUCCAGACUCCUACGGGAGGCAGCAGUAGGGAAUAUUGGACAAUGGGCGCAAGCCUGAUCCAGCCAUGCCGCGUGAGUGAAGAAGGCCCUCGGGUGUAAAGCUCUUUGUUGGGAAGAAAGCAGUUGGUUAAUACCCGAUUGUUCUGACGGUACCCAAAGAAUAAGCACCGGCUAACUUCGUGCCAGCAGCCG
rnacentral:rRNA from 1 species